rnacentral:pre_miRNA from 1 species
AUAGUACUCCCUCCGUUCCGAAUUACUUGUCGCAGAAAUGGAUGUAUCUAGAUGUAUUUUAGUUUUAGAUACAUCCAUUUCUGCGACGAGUAAUUUGGAACGGAGGGAGUAUUAA